AUUGAACGCUGGCGGCAUGCUUUACACAUGCAAGUCGAACGGCAGCGCGGGCUUCGGCCUGGCGGCGAGUGGCGAACGGGUGAGUAAUGCAUCGGAACGUGCCCAGCUGUGGGGGAUAGCCCGGCGAAAGCCGGAUUAAUACCCCAUAAGACCUGAGGGUCAACGCGGGGGACCGAAAGGCCUCGCGCCAUUGCAGCGGCCGAUGUCGGAUUAGCUAGUUGGUGGGGUAAAGGCUUACCAAGGCGACGAUCCGUAGCUGGUCUGAGAGGACGACCAGCCACACUGGGACUGAGACACGGCCCAGACUCCUACGGGAGGCAGCAGUGGGGAAUUUUGGCCCCUGGGGGCCGCCCUGAUCCCGCCCUGCCGCGUGCGGGAAGAAGGCCUUCGGGUUGUAAACCGCUUUUGUUCGGGAAGAAAUCCUCUGGGCUAAUACCCCGGGGGGAUGACGGUACCGGCCGAAUAAGCACCGGCUCCCUACGUG
rnacentral:rRNA from 1 species